rnacentral:rRNA from 1 species
GACGAACGCUGGCGGCGUGCUUAACACAUGCAAGUCGAACGAAGAGCGACGGAAGCUUGCUUCUAUCACUCUUAGUGGCGAACGGGUGAGUAACGCGUAAUCAACCUGCCCUUCAGAGGGGGACAACAGUUGGAAACGACUGCUAAUACCGCAUACGAUCUAACCUCGGCAUCGAGGAUAGAUGAAAGGUGGCCUCUACAUGUAAGCUAUCACUGAAGGAGGGAAUUGCGUCUGAUUAGCUAGUUGGAGGGGUAACGGCCCACCAAGGCGAUGAUCAGUAGCCGGUCUGAGAGGAUGAACGGCCACAUUGGGACUGAGACACGGCCCAGACUCCUACGGGAGGCAGCAGUGGGGAAUCUUCCGCAAUGGACGAAAGUCUGACGGAGCAACGCCGCGUGAGUGAUGACGGCCUUCGGGUUGUAAAGCUCUGUUAAUCGGGACGAAAGGCCUUCUUGCGAAUAGUGAGAAGGAUUGACGGUACCGGAAUAGAAAGCCACGGCUAACUACGUG